GACGAACGCUGGCGGCGUGCUUAACACAUGCAAGUCGAGCGGUAAGGCCCUUUCGGGGGUACACGAGCGGCGAACGGGUGAGUAACACGUGGGUGACCUGCCCUUAGCUCUGGGAUAAGCCUGGGAAACUGGGUCUAAUACCGGAUAUGACUCCAUAACGCAUGUUGUGGGGUGGAAAGCCUUGUGCGGCUAGGGAUGGGCCCGCGGCCUAUCAGCUUGUUGGUGGGGUGAUGGCCACCAAGGCGACGACGGGUAGCCGGCCUGAGAGGGCGACCGGCCACACUGGGACUGAGACACGGCCCAGACUCCUACCGGGAGGCAGCAGUGGGGAAUCUUGCGCAAUGGGCGAAAGCCUGACGCAGCGACGCCGCGUGGGGA
rnacentral:rRNA from 1 species